CACCGGAGUUUUCCACUGUUCCGGCCGAGUUACUGUACACGUGCCGGACAGAAAGCUUGCCCACCUCAUUUCCGGCAAAACCUCCAAAUUUCACGGCGAACGGCCGCCGGACGCGCCCGGAUCGGACGUCCGAAGUUUGGCGGCGAUUUUUCCCCUCCACCGCCGGCCACCGCGAAUCGGCACUGUUCCGGCCAUUUUCCGGCCACACGCGCCUGACAGCCUUGAUCCUCUCCUCAAGUCCGGCCUACCCACCAAAAAUCACGGCCAUCGGACCACCGACGCGCCGGGAUCGGAGCGUUUUCCGGCGAGGGGUCGAAAAUCUUCAAACGGUGAUUUCUCCGCCGUCCGACCUCCGUUUUGCUCACCGUCUGUCCCGUUGGAUUGCUCUCCUCACGAUCUACAUAUCUGCAAAAUUUCACAGCAAACGGCCACCGUCGGAAAAUACUGUUCCGGUGACGGUUGCCGGUGACGUGGCGGCCCGCCGGAAAAUACUGUUCCGGCGAGUACCCGAAAAUUUCCGGCCAACUCCAAUCUGCAGUGUUCGACCUCCUGAACCCAAAUCCGACUUCCGUUUCCGCCAAUUCGCGACGGUUUGGGAGAAUUGCGGAGCCGAAACUCGAAAAGCUUUCCGGCGAGAUUCCGACCCCGUCGGGUUCGAUCACCGGAAAGUAAGACCGAAUCCGUGAUCCUCAUCACGCGAGCUUCGAUUCGGUGCACGCGCGAGUAGUGGAGUGGAUCCCGAGGAGGAUCUUAGUUGAUUUGCGCUCUCCAGGUGCAAGUGGUGGUAGACGUUCUUCCGGAGCGAACCAAGUUUUCCGCUGCUGUUGUGUUUCGAGAAGUUUCUUUGUACUCUUUCAUCUCAGUGUAUUAUUUCUUUUCAGCCUUGUUGUAUUUCUGUUGUUUAGCACUUCUUAAAGCUCUGUAUACUAUUGGAAUACUUCUGUUUUAUUUAUGCACUGGACUGUUGUUGCUUUGAGAAGUGCUGGAAUUUGUGGAAUCAGUUUGUAGUUUGUGGGAGGAACAAGGGGAUGUUUUUAGAAGUGCGUUUUCAGUGCAGGUAAUUUGUGGUAAGUAAAUCCCUUAGGGGAGGCUCUGUUGGAUUUUCCUUUGGAGGGUCCGGUAGGGUUUCCCUGGGAUCAGGGCUGUCUAGGGUUCCGGGGAAGGAAUUCUGGACGGGUCCUGACAUAAAGAAUCACAAAAAAGAGGUU